rnacentral:rRNA from 1 species
UACGUAGGGGGCAAGCGUUGUCCGGAAUCACUGGGCGUAAAGCGUGUGUAGGCGGCCAUACAAGUCGGAUGUGAAAGCCCUGGGCUCAACCCAGGAAGUGCACCCGAAACUGUGUGGCUCGAGUACUGGAGAGGUUGGUGGAAUUCUCGGUGUAGAGGUGAAAUUCGUAGAUAUCGAGAGGAACACCGGUGGCGAAGGCGGCCAACUGGACAGAUACUGACGCUGAGACACGAAAGCGUGGGGAGCAAACAGG